UUGAGAGUUUGAUCCUGGCUCAGGACGAACGCUGGCGGCGUGCCUAAUGCAUGCAAGUCGAGCGGGCUACGAUCUUCGGAUUGUAGCUUAGCGGCGAACGGGUGAGUAACACGUAGGUAAUCUACCCUUCAGAGGAGGACAACCUCAGGAAACUGAGGCUAAACCUUCAUACGUUCACUGGUAGGGAUACUGGUGAAGAAAGAGUUACCUUAGUGGUAGCUGCUGAAGGAUGAGCCUGCGGCCCAUCAGGUAGUUGGUGAGGUAACGGCUCACCAAGCCGAAGACGGGUAACCGGUCUGAGAGGAUGUCCGGUCACACUGGGACUGAGACACGGCCCAGACUCCUACGGGAGGCAGCAGCAGGGAAUCUUGGGCAAUGGGCGAAAGCCUGACCCAGCGACGCCGCGUGGAGGAAGAAGUCCUUCGGGGCGUAAACUCCUGGACUGGGGGACGAGGAAGGACGGUACCCCAGUAGAAAGGGACGGCUAACUACGUGCCAGCAGCCGCGGUAAAACGUAGGUCCCGAGCGUUGUUCGGAUUCACUGGGUGUAAAGGGCGCGUAGGUGGUUGUCUGUGUCUCAUGUGAAAACUCAGGGCUCAACUCUGAGAUUGCGUGGGAAACUAGGCAGCUAGAGGACGGUAGAGGGGAGUGGAAUUCCCGGUGUAGCGGUAAAAUGCGUAGAUAUCGGGAGGAACACCGGUGGCGAAAGCGGCUCUCUGGGCCGAUCCUGACGCUGAGCGCGAAAGCUAGGGAGCGAACCGGAUUAGAUACCCGGGUAGUCCUAGCCGUAACGAUGGGUGCUAGUGUUGGGGGGUAAAGACCCUUCAGUGCCGAAGCCAACGCGAUAAGCAUCCCACCUGGGAGUACGCCGCACGUGAAACUCAAGAUGCGGGGUCCGCACAAGCGGCGAGCAUGUGUUUAUCGAUGCUG
rnacentral:rRNA from 1 species